GAGUUUGAUCCUGGCUCAGGAUGAACGCUGGCGGCGUGCUUAACACAUGCAAGUCGAACGAACCUUCGGGUUAGUGGCGGACGGGUGAGUAACGCGUGGGAAUCUGCCCUCAGGAGGGGGAUAACGGUUGGAAACGACCGCUAAUACCCCAUAUGCCGAGAGGUGAAAUGAAUUUCGCCUGAGGAUGAGCCCGCGUCUGAUUAGCUUGUUGGUGAGGUAAUGGCUCACCAAGGCAUCGAUCAGUAGCUGGUCUGAGAGGAUGAUCAGCCACACUGGGACUGAGACACGGCCCAGACUCCUACGGGAGGCAGCAGUGGGGAAUUUUCCGCAAUGGACGAAAGUCUGACGGAGCAACGCCGCGUGAGGGACGAAGGCCUCUGGGCUGUAAACCUCUUUUCUCAAGGAAGAAGAUAUGACGGUACUUGAGGAAUAAGCCACGGCUAAUUCCGUGCCAGCAGCCGCGGUAAUACGGGAGUGGCAAGCGUUAUCCGGAAUUAUUGGGCGUAAAGCGUCCGCAGGCGGCCUUUCAAGUCUGCUGUUAAAGCGUGGAGCUUAACUCCAUCAUGGCAGUGGAAACUGAUUGGCUUGAGUAUGGUAGGGGUAGAGGGAAUUCCCGGUGUAGCGGUGAAAUGCGUAGAUAUCGGGAAGAACACCAGUGGCGAAGGCGCUCUACUGGGCCAUUACUGACGCUCAUGGACGAAAGCCAGGGGAGCGAAAGGGAUUAGAUACCCCUGUAGUCCUGGCCGUAAACGAUGAACACUAGGUGUCGGGGGAAUCGACCCCUUCGGUGUCGUAGCUAACGCGUUAAGUGUUCCGCCUGGGGAGUACGCACGCAAGUGUGAAACUCAAAGGAAUUGACGGGGGCCCGCACAAGCGGUGGAGUAUGUGGUUUAAUUCGAUGCAACGCGAAGAACCUUACCAGGGCUUGACAUCCUGCGAACCUUUAAGAAAUUAGAGGGUGCCUUCGGGAACGCAGUGACAGGUGGUGCAUGGCUGUCGUCAGCUCGUGUCGUGAAAUGUUGGGUUAAGUCCCGCAACGAGCGCAACCCACGUUUUUAGUUGCCAGCAUUUAGUUGGGCACUCUAGAAAGACCGCCGGUGAUAAACCGGAGGAAGGUGUGGAUGACGUCAAGUCAUCAUGCCCCUUACGUCCUGGGCUACACACGUACUACAAUGCUACGGACAAAGGGCAGCAAACUCGCGAGAGCUAGCAAAUCCCAUAAACCGUGGCUCAGUUCAGAUCGUAGGCUGCAACUCGCCUACGUGAAGUAGGAAUCGCUAGUAAUCGCAGGUCAGCAUACUGCGGUGAAUACGUUCCCGGGCCUUGUAUACACCGCCCGUCACACCAUGGAAGUUGGCCACGCCCGAAGUCGUUACUUUAACCCUUGUGGAGAAGGACGCCGAAGGUGGGGCUGAUGACUGGGGUGAAGUCGUAACAAGGUAACC
rnacentral:rRNA from 1 species